rnacentral:lncRNA from 1 species
CUACGAACCCCACGGGAGGGGUCAGUGCCCACCAGCAGGCUCCUUGGCACCAAGCCUCCAUCUUCUUCCCGGGGUGGAGGGAGAUGUCAAGCCUAGAAGCCUCAGCUGGCCUGUUCUUGGGCGCCUGGCCUACCACCCGCCCCAGCCUCACCCGCAGGGUCUCCAACUCCUUGCGCGCCUGGCUUAGCUGUUUUUCCAGUUCUGCAAUCUUGGCCAUGGAUUCGUUCUCCGCGUCCCGAAGCCGCUCUGUCAGCUGUAGCACCAGCACAUGGUGAGCCCCGACCCGCAGCCCGGCACUGGCACCGCCGGUGAGGGGGCGGCAUCAGGCAUGCCUGCCUGGAAGACUGGGGGAGGCUCCCAGAUCCGCUCAGCCCAGGUGCCAAGGGUGGGCCGAGCCUGGCACUCGAACCCAAGCAAAUAAGGAGAGGAAACCAAGCAGCGCCCCCACAUCAAAAAUAUUGUCCAGGUACGCCUGGAUCUGCACCUGCAGCUUGUCACUCUCGGUGAGCCGAAGCCUCUGUCCCCCAGAUGGAAGGAGUGGGGUGAGGCCUGGUGUGUGUGUGGGGGGGAGUCUUUCCAAACCACCCCCCUGCCACCACUGCCAUCCAGAGGAAGGGGCCUGAGCCCUAGCCUACUUUUUCUUUAUUUUUUAAUAUAUAAUUCACAAAUCAUAAAAUCCAUUUUAAAGUGUACAAUUCAGUCAUUCUUAGUAUAGCCACAAGGUUGUGCAACCAUCACCAUUAUCUAAUUCCAGAACAUUGUCAUCAGCCCAAAAAGAAACCCCACAGGCGUCAGCAGUCACUUGCCAUUCUCUCCUCCCCCAGUCCCUGGCAACCACUAAUCUACUUUCCAUCUUUAUGGAUUUACCCAUUCUGGACAUUUCAUAUAAAGCAAUCAUAGAUAGCUGGGCGAGGUGGCUCAUGCCUGUAAUCCCAGCACUGUGGGAGGCUGAGGCAGACGGAUCACCUAAGGUCAGGAGUUCAAGACCAACCUGGCCAACGUGGUGAAACCCCCGUCUCUACCAAAAAUACAAAAAUUAACCGAGUGUGGUGGUGGGCACCUAUAAUCCCAACUACUGGGGAGGCUGGAAAAUCACUUGAACCCGGGAGGCAGAGGUUGCAGUGAGCCAAGAUCGUGUCACUGCACUCUAGCCUGGGCAACAGAGCAAGACUCCAUCUCAAAAAAAAAGCAAUCAUAGAGUACGUGACCUUUUGUGUCUGGCUUCUUUCACUUAGCAUGUUUUCAAGGCUCACCCAUGUUGUACCAUGUGUCAAUACUUCAUUCCUUCUUGUGGCUGAAUAAUACUCCAUUGCACAGAUAGACCCCCCCGCCAGCCUGCUCUCUACCUUUUGUUAAUCCUGGCUUUCAAAAAUCCAACCCCGAAAGCCCCGCUCCUCCAGGAAACCUCCCAAAGGAAGCAGAGAAGGAGCUGCAGCUUCUCUGCUCAGCCUGGGCCAGGAAGCACCAAGCAGCUCUGCCCACCUUCCCCAGGGCAGGGAACUCCUCCAUGUCCUGGGCCCAUCCAGCAUGAGCCAACUCCUGCUUCUACCCUGUAUCUCUGGGUUCCCCAUUAUAUGCUGGAGUCAGAGCACCUGUCUGAGGCUGGUGCUCCCAGAGCCAGACUCUGGGCUACCUUGACCUGUUCUGGUGCCUGCAAAAACAGUUCCAUAGACUGGGGGCCUGGUAUGUGCCAGGCACUGGUCUAUGCAUUUAGAGUCAAGAUUAUCUUCUAUGAUUCUCCUAUUUCACAGAUGGCAAAACUGACACUGAGAGAGAGGAAGAGGCCUAUCCAAGGUCACACGGCAGGCAACGGCAGAGCCAGGAUUUAAACCCAGGUCUACCUGACCCCAGCACUCAUGCUGCUAACCACUCAGCCAUACUCUGCCGUGGGCAGGCAGUUCAGUCUGGGGGGCAGUACAGGGCUUACCUCCAAGUACAGGUCCAGGCCCAAGUGGGUGAACUCAUAUUGCAGGAAGACACGGAAGUUCAUGUUCUCCACCGAAUGUACCACAAUGUUGAUGAACUGCAUGCAGGCCACCUGGGAGCCAGGGACAUGGGGAGAUCUAUGAUCCUCUAGGUGGGGUUGCUCAAUGCCUUCCACCUCCACUUACCCCAAGCCUCCCUCCUUCUCCACAGUUCUCACUCCACUAACUCCCAGCCUUGGCCUGCCCAACAUUUCACCUCCAUGUUCCCUCAAUCCAGCCCCCUGCCAACAUCCACCCUUCCCCUACUGACCACUCAGUCCUUACGCUUUGCGGGGGCAGAGCCCAUUGCCCAGCACCCAGGACCCUAGCUGCUCCCUGCACCCAAGAGGGCCUGGCCCAGGCCUCAGGCUGCUGGGCUCCUGAGCUCACCAUGAAGUCGAUGUUGCUGUCCUCAUUCCGGAAAUAUUCCAUCAGCUUUUCAAAGCGGUGCUGCUCCCCACACACCUGGGUAAGGGGAAUGGCUCUCACUGAGGCCCAGUGACACACGUCCUAAGCUACCUUCUGGCUGCCACACCUGUGCUUCAACAGGCUCCUCUCCAGUUAAUUCUAAGUUGAGCCACGUCACUCUUCUGCUCAAAACCUCCACUCCCUCUCAAUCUCCCACUCUCCCUCACUUUUUCCACUCUGGCCACACUGGCAUCCUGGCACAUUCCCACCCCAGGGCCUUUGCACUUACUGUUCCAACUCCCUGGAGUGCCCUCACUCCCACACCAAGUCCCUUGCUUCCUUCACAGCUUUGCUGAAAUCUCACUUGCUCAGUGAGGCCUUCCCUGACCACCCUGCAACCAAUUCCCCCUCCCUCUGCAACAUUGCUGGCUUUUUUCUCACAGCAUUUAUCAUUUCCUAACAUACUAUGUAAUUUGCUUGUUUAUUAUAUCGUUUCUGUCUUUCCCUAUAUGGUUUCCUUUGUUCACUGAUGUGCCCAAGUGCCCUGUUCCUGACACAUAGUAGGCACUCAAUAAAUAUUCAUUAAAGGAAUGAAUGA